rnacentral:rRNA from 1 species
AGUGAACGCUGGCGGUAGGCCUAACACAUGCAAGUCGAACGGCAGCACAGUAAGAGCUUGCUCUUACGGGUGGUGAGUGGCGGACGGGUGAGGAAUACAUCGGAAUCUACUUUUUCGUGGGGGAUAACGUAGGGAAACUUACGCUAAUACCGCAUACGACCUACGGGUGAAAUCAGGGGAUCUUCGGACCUUGCGCGAUUGAAUGAGCCGAUGUCGGAUUAGCUAGUUGGCGGGGUAAAGGCCCACCAAGGCGACGAUCCGUAGCUGGUCUGAGAGGAUGAUCAGCCACACUGGAACUGAGACACGGUCCAGACUCCUACGGGAGGCAGCAGUGGGGAAUAUUGGACAAUGGGCGCAAGCCUGAUCCAGCCAUACCGCGUGGGUGAAGAAGGCCUUCGGGUUGUAAAGCCCUUUUGUUGGGAAAGAAAAGCAGCAGGUUAAUACCCCGCUGUUCUGACGGUACCCAAAGAAUAAGCACCGGCUAACUUCGUG